rnacentral:misc_RNA from 1 species
UUUAACAAAUAAUGUGCGCGUCGUUUACGGACGACGUGCGCACGUUGAUGAGCUUUUCCGAAAAAACCAGGUUUUUUUGGUGGCGCAUAAUGAACAGCGUGGGCUUUUUCUUCGAUUCUCGUGUAGUAAAUUUCAAAACAACGCUUGGGUUGAGAAAAAGUGCGUGCCGCGCAAUGGGUGUGGCGAAUUUACCCCUGCCCCAAUGCCACUCUUUCCCUGCGAAAGAACAAUCUUUUAU